rnacentral:rRNA from 1 species
AUUGAACGCUGGCGGCAUGCCUUACACAUGCAAGUCGAACGUGAAAGCGGGGCAACCCGCAAGUAGAGUGGCGGACGGGUGAGUAAUACAUCGGAACGUGUCCAGUAAUGGGGGAUAACCUAGCGAAAGUUAGGCUAAUACCGCAUACGAUCUGCGGAUGAAAGCGGGGGAUGCGGCACUAAAGGCUUUUGGCGAAGGUGGCCAAAGGUGAGUCAAGAGCUUUUAGUGCNGCACCUCGCGUUAUUGGAGCGGCUGAUGUCUGAUUAGCUAGUUGGUGAGGUAAAGGCUUACCAAGGCGACGAUCAGUAGCUGGUCUGAGAGGACGGCCAGCCACACUGGGACUGAGACACGGCCCAGACUCCUACGGGAGGCAGCAGUGGGGAAUUUUGGACAAUGGGGCAACCCUGAUCCAGCCAUGCCGCGUGAGUGAAGAAGGCC